GAUGAACGCUAGCUACAGGCUUAACACAUGCAAGUCGAGGGGUAACGAGAGGAAAGCUUGCUUUCCUUGUCGACGACCGGCGCACGGGUGAGUAACGCGUAUCCAACCUGCCCCCAACUAGGGAAUAACCUUGCGAAAGUAAGACUAAUACCCUAUAAUUUCCUCAGAUGACAUCUGACGAGGAAUAAAGAUUUAUCGGUUGUGGAUGGGGAUGCGUCUGAUUAGCUUGUUGGCGGGGUAACGGCCCACCAAGGCAACGAUCAGUAGGGGUUCUGAGAGGAAGGUACCCAACAUUGGAACUGAGACACGGUCCAAACUCCUACGGGAGGCAGCAGUGAGGAAUAUUGGUCAAUUGGCGGAAGCCUGAACCAGCCAAGUAGCGUGCAGGAUGACGGCCCUAUGGGUUGUAAACUGCUUUUAUACAGGAAUAAAGUUAGCCACGUGUGGUUAUUUGUAGGUACUGUACGAAUAAGGACCGGCUAAUUCCGUGCCAGCAGCCGCAGUAA
rnacentral:rRNA from 1 species